UACGUAGGGUGCAAGCGUUAAUCGGAAUUACUGGGCGUAAAGCGUGCGCAGGCGGUUUUGUAAGUCUGACGUGAAAUCCCCGGGCUUAACCUGGGAAUUGCGUUUGGAGACUGCAAGGCUGGAGUCUGGCAGAGGGGGGGUAGAAUUCCACGUGUAGCAGUGAAAUGCGUAGAGAUGUGGAGGAACACCGAUGGCGAAGGCAGCCCCCUGGGUCAAGACUGACGCUCAUGCACGAAAGCGUGGGGAGCAAACAGG
rnacentral:rRNA from 1 species